GCAGGAGGAGGAGGAAGAAGAGAGACUUGCAGAGAUUAGGGUGGCAGCCAGAUUUAGGGACCCUCCCGGUGUUUCCAAACACCUUUCUUCCGCAGGCGUUCCAGGGGGGAGGGCUGGGCUGGGCUGGGCUGGGCAGGUGAGUCAGCCGGAGGCUCCCGUCUGCCAGAAGAGGGGCCGUGUCCCUUUAAAGACAUGUGAUACUUUCCCCCCAGCCGGGGGAUGCAUUGAAAUAGACUCUUCGGUACUUACACCGCGCUGUAUAGGCGAUCUGCGCUUUUCCUACGUACAUCUGCUCUUACUCCGCUCGGAGUGCAUUGGAGAGAGAGAGAUACAUAUAUAUAGGAAAGGGGAGAGAGGGUGGAGGUAAAAAAAGGAGAGAGAGGGGUGGGCUGGUGUGUCAUUAAACAUCCACCGAUCCUCCUCUCUAAGUGCCCUGGAAGCCUGCGAAUUAUCUCAAGAUCACUUGAAAGGUCUCAUCGAGCAGAAGGUGUCGCUCCGAGAUGAUUUAAAGGUGAAAAUGACAGGCUUUCCACCUCUCAAAGCUUGGCUACUUUUCUGACAGCCUGGGAGACAGAGAGAGAGAGAGAGAGACAGGGAGAGAGCGAGAGAGCCUAGAUGUCUUCCUUACUCUUGGAAUAGGAUUGCCAACGAGGACACCGAGACACAAACCAAUCCCCGGUUUCGUUUUCGUGCGUCCUCAAGAAAGGCUGCUGUCGAAGAUUGCCGGGCGAAACUGCACGAUCCCGUGUUGUGGUGCAGAUGGAUUUUUUUGGGGAAAGUGUCCAGUCUUUCCAAUGAACGCGAACCGGGCACUGUGUUUUGGGUUGGAAUCCUCAGAGAACGGCCAUGGUCUCUGCAAUGUCCUGGGUCCUGUAUUUGUGGAUAAGUGCCUGUGCCAUGCUGCUCUGUCAGGGCUCACUUCACCACACCUUCCAGCAGCAUCCUCUGCACAGACCAGGUAGGACCAGUUACAAGGAUGCUGCUCUGUGCAGCCUCAUGUGUGAGCCUAUACUGUAUAUUGAUGCAAUGGGGAUUAAUCUGUUC
rnacentral:lncRNA from 1 species